rnacentral:rRNA from 1 species
UGGGGAAUAUUGGACAAUGGGCGAAAGCCUGAACCAGCCAUGCCGCGUGUGUGAAGAAGGCCUUUUGGUUGUAAAGCACUUUAAGCGAGGAGGAGGCUACUUGGAUUAAUACUCUAGGAUAGUGGACGUUACUCGCAGAAUAAGCACCGGCUAACUCUGUGCCAGCAGCCGCGGUAAUACAGAGGGUGCGAGCGUUAAUCGGAUUUACUGGGCGUAAAGCGUGCGUAGGCGGCUUCUUAAGUCGGAUGUGAAAUCCCUGAGCUUAACUUAGGAAUUGCAUUCGAUACUGGGAAGCUAGAGUAUGGGAGAGGAUGGUAGAAUUCCAGGUGUAGCGGUGAAAUGCGUAGAGAUCUGGAGGAAUACCGAUGGCGAAGGCAGCCAUCUGGCCUAAUACUGACGCUGAGGUACGAAAGCAUGGGGAGCAAACAGG